CUAAACUGAGGAAAGUCGGCCGAAACUGAUCGACUCGAGGAACGUAGAGGGAAGCGGAACUCUCGGAGUAGCGGUGAAAUGCGUAGAGACCGAGAGGUACCCCGAUGGUGAAGACAGCUUCUUGGGCGUUUCCUGACGCUGAAGCACUAAGGCCAGGGGAGCGAAGGGGAUUAGAUACCCCCGUAGUCCUGGCUUCAAACGAUGUGGGCUUGGUGUCGGCCCCCGACAGAGGGUCGUUGCCGGAGCUAACGUGUUAAGCCCACCGCCUGGGGAUUACGUCCGCAAGGAUGAAACUCAAGGGAAUUGACGGGGGCCCACACAACCGGUGGAGCACGUGGUUUAAUUCGAUGAUAAGCGAAGAACCUUACCAGGGCUUGACCUAGCGGUGGUAGGAUCCUGAAAGGGAAACGACCUCAAGCCUAGCUUGAGGGGCC
rnacentral:rRNA from 1 species